GACGAACGCUGGCGGCGUGCUUAACACAUGCAAGUCGAGCGGUAAGGCCCUCGGGUACGACGAGCGGCGAACGGGUGGAGUAACACGUGGGUGGACCUGCCUCUAGCUCUGGGAGUAAGCCUGGGAAACGUAGGGUCGUAAUACCGGAUAUGACUCCACGGCGCAUGUUGUGGGGUGGAAAGCCUUGUGUGGCUAGAGAU
rnacentral:rRNA from 1 species